rnacentral:rRNA from 1 species
UACGAAGGGGGCUAGCGUUGCUCGGAAUCACUGGGCGUAAAGGGUGCGUAGGCGGGUCUUUAAGUCAGAGGUGAAAUCCUGGAGCUCAACUCCAGAACUGCCUUUGAUACUGAGGAUCUUGAGUACGGGAGAGGUGAGUGGAACUGCGAGUGUAGAGGUGAAAUUCGUAGAUAUUCGCAAGAACACCAGUGGCGAAGGCGGCUCACUGGCCCGGUACUGACGCUGAGGUGCGAAAGCGUGGGGAGCAAACAGG